GACGAACGCUGGCGGCGUGCUUAACACAUGCAAGUCGAACGGAAAGGCCCUGCUUUUGUGGGGUGCUCGAGUGGCGAACGGGUGAGUAACACGUGAGUAACCUGCCCUUGACUUUGGGAUAACUUCAGGAAACUGGGGCUAAUACCGGAUAGGAGCUCCUGCUGCAUGGUGGGGGUUGGAAAGUUUCGGCGGUUGGGGAUGGACUCGCGGCUUAUCAGCUUGUUGGUGGGGUAGUGGCUUACCAAGGCUUUGACGGGUAGCCGGCCUGAGAGGGUGACCGGCCACAUUGGGACUGAGAGACGGCCCAGACUCCUACGGGAGGCAGCAGUGGAGAGUAUUGCACAAUGGGCGGGAGCCUGAUGCAGCAACGCCGCGUGCGGGAUGACGGCCUUCGGGUUGUAAACCGCUUUCGACUGUGACGAAGCGUGAGUGACGGUAAUGGGUAAAGAAGCACCGGCUAACUACGUG
rnacentral:rRNA from 1 species